rnacentral:rRNA from 1 species
GGCGCACGGGUGCGUAACACGUGGGUAAUCUGCCUCAAAGUUUAGGAUAACCUUCCGAAAGGUUGGCUAAUACUACUGAAGCUCACAAGGUCUUCGGACCAAGGGAGAAAAGUUGGCCUCUGUUUACAUGCUAACGCUUUGAGAUGAGCCCGCGGCCCAUCAGCUAGUUGGUGAGGUAAUGGCUCACCAAGGCUACGACGGGUAGCUGGUCUGAGAGGACGAUCAGCCACACUGGAACUGAGACACGGUCCAGACUCCUACGGGAGGCAGCAGUGGGGAAUUUUGCACAAUGGGCGCAAGCCUGAUGCAGCAACGCCGCGUGUGUGAUGAAGGUCUUCGGAUCGUAAAGCACUUUCGACCGGGACGAACAAGCUACUCCUAACACGAGUGGCCCUGACGGUACCGGGAGAAGAAGCACCGGCUAACUCUGUGCCAGCCGCCGCGG